GAUGAAGAACGUAGUGAAACGCGAUAGGUAAUGUGAAUUGCAAAUUCAGUGAAUCAUCGAGUCUUUGAACGCACAUUGCGCCCCCUGGUAUUCCGGGGGGCAUGCCUGUCCGAGCGUCAUUGCUGCCCUCAAGCACGGCUUGUGUGUUGGGCCCCGUCCUCCGAUCCCGGGGGACGGGCCCGAAAGGCAGCGGCGGCACCGCGUCCGGUCCUCGAGCGUAUGGGGCUUUGUCACCCGCUCUGUAGGCCCGGCCGGCGCUUGCCGAUCAACCCAAAUUUUUAUCCAGGUUGACCUCGGAUCAGGUAGGGAUACCCGCUGAACUUAAGCAUAUCAAUAAGCGGAGGA
rnacentral:misc_RNA from 1 species